rnacentral:rRNA from 1 species
CCGGUUGAUCCCGCCGGACCCGACUGCUAUCGGGGUGGCGCUAAGCCAUGGGAGUCGCACAUCCCACCGCCGUGGGGUGUGGCGAACGGCUGAGUAACACGUGGCUAACCUACCCUCGGGACGGGGACAACUCCGGGAACCUGGAGCUUAUCCCCGAUAGGCGGGGAGUCCUGGAACGGUUCUCCGCCCAAAGGGAUAGAAGGGGGUUAUCGCCUUCUAUCCGCCCGAGGAUGGGGCUGCGUCCCAUCAGGUUGUUGGCGGGGUAACGGCCCGCCAAGCCUAUAACGGGUAGGGGCCGUGAGAGCGGGAGCCCGGAGAUGGGCACUGAGACAAGGGCCCAGGCUCUACGGAGCGCACCAAGCGCGAAACCUUCGCAAUGCGGGAAACCGUGACGGGGCCAUCCCGAGUGCAGGCUGCUGAGGUCUGCUUUUGCCCAGUGUAAGAAGCUGGGCGAAUAAGUGGGGGGCAAGACUGGUGUCAGCCGCCGCGGUAAAACCAGCAAUC